rnacentral:rRNA from 1 species
GAUGAACGCUAGCGGCAGGCUUAACACAUGCAAGUCGAGGGGUAGAGGAAGCUUGCUUCCUUGAGACCGGCGCACGGGUGCGUAACGCGUAUGCAACCUACCUUUUACAGAGGGAUAGCCCAGAGAAAUUUGGAUUAAUACCUCAUAGUAUAUAGUCUUCGCAUGUUGACUAUAUUAAAGUUCCAACGGUAAAAGAUGGGCAUGCGUCCUAUUAGCUAGAUGGUAAGGUAACGGCUUACCAUGGCAACGAUAGGUAGGGGUCCUGAGAGGGAGAUCCCCCACACUGGUACUGAGACACGGACCAGACUCCUACGGGAGGCAGCAGUGAGGAAUAUUGGACAAUGGGCGCAAGCCUGAUCCAGCCAUGCCGCGUGCAGGAAGACGGUCCUAUGGAUUGUAAACUGCUUUUGUACGGGAAGAAACACUCCUACGAGUAGGAGCUUGACGGUACCGUAAGAAUAAGGAUCGGCUAACUCCGUGCCAGCAGCCGCAGUAACAC